CCCGUGCAAAGGUAUAGAGCUGGAGUCUUGUGCAAGGGAUGACAAGAAAGCCUUUAUGGCUGGAGAUCAGUGUGUGGGAAUAACAUCUAAGAAUACUGGACAGCGUUGAGCCUGGGCUCUAGAAGAUGAUACCUCCAAAGACCACAGUCCUGACAACAGAUUAUGUCUGCUUUCUGAGGCCCAAUCUAGGAAAAACUAAGUGGAUGAAGAAUGUCUAUUGCCCAAACUAUAACAUUCAGUUGGAUGGACAGCCCGUGGAGUUAGUCUAUCAGUAUGUUUCUCAGACCACAGACAAUAAGCUGGGUCCAGAGUUGAGCAGGAAGAAAGAAAACUGGAUUGGUUUUGGGAAAUUACGAGUUGCCUGUGGACAACUACUUCUUCACAAUGCUGAUUCUGUUUCCUCAUGAAAUGAUGAAACUCAUUGAGCAGGCUAAACUAAAGGUCACCAUCCUGGUUCUUCUUCUCCGGACACCAUCCAGGCCAGAACUGAACAAUACUUCAGAUGAAGUCUGACAAGAAUAGAGACCAGGGAAAUUACCACCUUCAUGUUCCUGGAAUUGAUUUCCUCCUAAUGAAGCUCAAGAUCACACUAGAUUUUUUGGCUAUCAUAUCACACUGUCUGCCCAUAUUGAAUGUAUAGUCCAAUAAGAUGACAAGUACUUUUUCAGAAUUGCUGUCUAUACAUGUCUCCCACUCUCCUCCUCCCAUCCCUUAGCUUAUAUUGAUGGAAUAGAUUUUUUUUGUACCCAAGUAUAAGACUUUACCUUUAUCCCUAUUGAAUUUCAUUUUAUUAGGUUCAUCCCUAUGUGUGAGCCUAAUAACAUCCUUUUGAAUCCUAACUGUCAUUCAUUUUUUUAGCUAUCCAGUAGUGUGCUAGUAAAUGUUUUACAACCAGCUCUCUGGAAAAAUGAACAUGCCAUACGCUUUUAAGUUUUAUCUGCAAUAUCCACACUUUCUUCAUAAUUUUAUUAAAUCUAGACAAUCAAUAAAACAAUAAAUCAAUUAUGAAAGUUUCAGUGUGACCAUGUGCUGAUUUCCAAGGUGUAAAUGGUCACACUGAAACUUUCAUAAUUGGUUCUCUUGA